rnacentral:rRNA from 1 species
GGGUCAGCAGGUUGGUCGUGCCAAUGGUAUGCACUGGCCUUGCUGAUUCCUCCCUCUUGAUGAGCCGUAAUGUCAUUAAUUUGGUGUUGCGGGGAAUCAGGACUGUUACUUUGAAAAAAUUAGAGUGUUUAAAGCGGGCUUCGACGCUUGAAUACAUUAGCAUGGAAUAAUGAAAUAGGACGAGGUCCUAUUUUGUUGGUUUAGGGACCUUCGUA